AUUGAACGCUGGCGGCAUGCUUUACACAUGCAAGUCGGACGGCAGCACAGAGAAGCUUGCUUCUUGGGUGGCGAGUGGCGAACGGGUGAGUAAUAUAUCGGAACGUACCGAGUAAUGGGGGAUAACUAAUCGAAAGAUUAGCUAAUACCGCAUAUUCUCUGAGGAGGAAAGCAGGGGACCUUCGGGCCUUGCGUUAUUCGAGCGGCCGAUAUCUGAUUAGCUAGUUGGUGGGGUAAAGGCCUACCAAGGCGACGAUCAGUAGCGGGUCUGAGAGGAUGAUCCGCCACACUGGGACUGAGACACGGCCCAGACUCCUACGGGAGGCAGCAGUGGGGAAUUUUGGACAAUGGGCGCAAGCCUGAUCCAGCCAUGCCGCGUGUCUGAAGAAGGCCUUCGGGUUGUAAAGGACUUUUGUCAGGGAAGAAAAGGCUGUUGCUAAUACCGAUAGCUGAUGACGGUACCUGAAGAAUAAGCACCGGCUAACUACGUG
rnacentral:rRNA from 1 species